GAAAUCACCGGCUUAGCCGGUAAUAAAUUCUAUCCACCUUGUGUGCAAUCAAUGGAAAAGAAAGAGAGAAAUUUUGGAUGCUUUUUCGUAUCCAGCCUCUCUAAUUUUUUUUUUUAUAAACUCCAUCAAAUUUUGAAUAAAACUAAUUUUUUAAUAAAAAAUAUUAUA
rnacentral:misc_RNA from 1 species